rnacentral:rRNA from 1 species
UACGUAGGCAGCAAGCGUUGUUCGGAAUUACUGGGCGUAAAGCGUGCGUAGGCGGUUGGCCAAGUUUGGUGUGAAAUCUCCCGGCUCAACUGGGAGGGUGCGCCGAAAACUGGCCGGCUAGAGUGCGGGAGAGGGAAGUGGAAUUCCUGGUGUAGCGGUGAAAUGCGUAGAUAUCAGGAGGAACACCUGUGGUGUAGACGGCUUCCUGGACAGUGACUGACGCUGAGGCACGAAAGCGUGGGGAGCAAACAGG